rnacentral:rRNA from 1 species
GAUGAACGCUGGCGGCGUGCCUAAUACAUGCAAGUAGAGCGCUGAAGGAGGAGCUUGCUCUUCUGGAUGAGUUGCGAACGGGUGAGUAACGCGUAGGUAACCUGCCUGGUAGCGGGGGAUAACUAUUGGAAACGAUAGCUAAUACCGCAUGACAACAGUUAUUGCAUGAUAACUGUUUAAAAGGGGCAACUGCUCCACUACCAGAUGGACCUGCGUUGUAUUAGCUAGUUGGUGAGGUAACGGCUCACCAAGGCGACGAUACAUAGCCGACCUGAGAGGGGGAUCGGCCACACUGGGACUGGGACACGGCCCAGACUCCUACGGGAGGCAGCAGUAGGGAAUCUUCGGCAAUGGACGGAAGUCUGACCGAGCAACGCCGCGUGAGUGAAGAAGGGUUUCGGAUCGUAAAGCUCUGUUGUAAGAGAAGAACGAGUGUGAGAGUGGAAAGUUCACACUGUGACGGUAUCUUACCAGAAAGGGACGGCUAACUACGUG